rnacentral:rRNA from 1 species
GACGAACGCUGGCGGCGUGCUUAACACAUGCAAGUCGAACGGAAAGGCCCUGCUUGCAUGGUACUCGAGUGGCGAACGGGUGAGUAACACGUGGGUGAUCUGCCCUGCACUUCUGGGUAAGCCUUGGAAACUGGGUCGAAUACCGGAGAGGAGCCAUUUUUAGGGUGAGUGUUGGAAAGUUUUUUCGGUGUAGGAUGAGCUCGCGGGCUAUCAGCUUGUUGGUGGGGUAAUGGCCUACCAAGGCGGCGACGGGUAGCCGGCCUGGGAGGGUGGACGGCCACAUUGGGACUGAGAUACGGCCCAGACUCCUAAGGGAGGCAGCAGUGGGGAAUAUUGCACAAUGGGCGCAAGCCUGAUGCAGCGAAGCCGCGUGGGGGAUGACGGCCUUCGGGUUGUAAAACCGUUUCGCUAGGGAAGAAGCUUUUUGUGACGGUAACUAGAAAAGAAGCACCGGCUAACUACGUG